UACGUAGGGUGCAAGCGUUAUCCGGAAUUAUUGGGCGUAAAGAGCUCGUAGGCGGUUCGAUAAGUCGGGUGUGAAACCUCCAGGCUCAACCUGGAGACGCCACCCGAUACUGUCGUGACUAGAGUCCAGUAGGGGAGCGUGGAAUUCCUGGUGUAGCGGUGAAAUGCGCAGAUAUCAGGAGGAACACCAGCGGCGAAGGCGGCGCUCUGGGCUGGCACUGACGCUGAGGAGCGAAAGCGUGGGUAGCGAACAGG
rnacentral:rRNA from 1 species